rnacentral:misc_RNA from 1 species
AACGCACGAGACCUGCGGACCUGCGGAAGGAUCAUUACUGAAUGGCCUUUUUGACCUUCAAACCCCUCAAACCUGUGGAAGAGAAAACGUGUUUCGGCGCCCAUGGGCGCCGCCCUUAAUGCAAAUGUCAGUCUUGUGUCUGAAAUAAAUUAAAGGUUAAAACUUUUAACAACGGAUCUCU